rnacentral:tRNA from 1 species
GCCGUGGUAGCUCAGUUGGGAGAGCAGUAGACUGAAGCAGCUUGUCUGUGUUCUAAAGGUCACCUGUUCGAUCCAGGUUCAUGGCA